GCCGGGCGCGGUGACUCGCGCCUGUAAUCCCAGCACUUUGGGAGGCCGAGGCGGGCGGAUCACCUGAGGUUGGGAGUUCAAGACCAGCCUGACCAACAUGGAGAAACUCCGCCUCUA
rnacentral:SRP_RNA from 1 species